UAAAGAGGGUGCAAGCGUUAAUCGGAAUUACUGGGCGUAAGGCGCGCGUAGGCCGUCGAGUAAGUCGGAUGUGAAAUCCCCGGGCUUAACCUGGGAAUUGCAUUCGAUACUGCUUGACUAGAGUGUGGAAGAGGGAAGCGGAAUUUCCGGUGUAGCGGUGAGAUGCGUAGAUAUCGGAAGGAACACCAGUGGCGAAGGCGGUUUCCUGGUCCAACACUGACGCUGAGGCGCGAAAGCUAGGGUAGCGAACGGG
rnacentral:rRNA from 1 species